UGACGCCAUCCUUCUAGUUUUCUUAUUCAUGGUUUUUCACUCUCUCUGUCCCUCUGUCUCUCAGGUUGUUACUCUGUCAUUUCCGGCCAUGCAAUGGGCAUGGAAUAUUGGAAUGGAAGGGAAGGGAUAUCUUCCCAACCAAUGGGUCGAACCCUCCGCCGCACAAUCAAUGGGUGUAAUGGGUACAUGACACACCAAAUGGUAUGCACCAAUAUUUCAUCAGGGUGAUCCCUACUAUAUACACUGACAUUAGAGGCCGUAUGAUCCAGUCAAAUCAGUAUUCCGGGACAGAGCAUUUUUGGAGUUCCGAAUCGGGUUACUUUUUUCAGUCUCUUCCUGGAAUUUUCUUCUUUUAUGACAUUUCUCCAGUUAAGGUUCGUAUAUUUGUUCACAGCUAAUAGGGUAUUUGAAAGUGUGAUUUUGGAGUCUGUCAUGAAUAUUGGGGUGGUUUAGGUGUCAUUGAUGAAAGAUUAUGUUUCUUUUUCCAUUUUCACAUGUUUAGUUUUGUUUCCUUCCAGAAGAAAAAUUAUAAAUGCACAUUAUCAUAGCUGCAUCUCCACUCAUGAGAUAGUCAAACAUGGAUAAGGACCAACAAGGAGAAAAAUCUAUGGAUUCAGGGAAACUAAGGUAGAUUAAGUGUUACGAACUUAAGUUCGUAACGGGAUAAAUUAAGUUCUAAGGGAACCUAAACCUUUUAAACACAAAGUUUGAGAUUACUACUUUUUAUUCCUUUAUUCAUAGCAUAACCCCUUUAAAUGGAGGAUUCAUUACAUAUUACAUAAGAAAGUUAGGACUGAGUCAACAACUCUUAUGAGGAUUAUUAAUUGAUUUUCUGCAGGAGAAAAUUGUUGGGUAGGGAAAUCAUUGAGUCAUUUUCUUAUGAGGAUUAUUAAUUGAUGUUGUAAUUAUUAAAUUCAUGUGACUUAUUUCUUCGCAGAAUGAAUUGUGUCAAGAUUCUUAUUUCA